rnacentral:misc_RNA from 1 species
UAAAGGUGCAUGAGUGGUGUUUGGUUUGAUACGGGUGGUCGGCUCCCUGCUUGAGCAGGCACGGCCAUGCGUGCAUUCCUUUUCAGUUGUGCGGCAAGGCUUGUAUCGUCUUGAUCGUAUAAGUGGGUUUCUUGUGUUGCAUACCUGAUCAAUGGCAUCGUUUUGAUCAAAAUGGUACCUUUUUCGUCUGGCGAUGCACUUAUUGCCUUGUCGGAUGAACUGUGUAGCAUCCUCUUUGAUCCAUACAGUUGACGUGUACUCGUUGAUUGUUUGGCCCUUUGAGGGUGACUUGGUCUCUCGGAUAUGGAAGCCAAAGUGGGCAUGGGUUCGCAAGAUCCCUUUAUUGCCCUCAUUGAGCGUUCUCGCUUCUCUUACACGACUGCCUUUCACGUAUGGCACGUCCCAGCGUGUUUGGCUAUGUCGAAGAGGAAUGCUACCUGGUUGAUCCUGCC